rnacentral:lncRNA from 1 species
UAGGGUUGUAUCUCUGCUUCUGGAAUCUUCAUCUUCUUAAACGUUUCCCAAUACAGGAUGUCGACCGAGCUACCCUGAUCUACCAAAACUUUUGCAAUUGCAAAUUUAUCUAUCUCCACAGUUAUUACCAUGGGGUCAUCUUGAGAUGGAUCGAUUGCUGUGAAGUCUUCGUUAGUGAAAGUGAUUGGUGGUAUAUGCGGUCGGCGUUGUGUGGAAGUCGAAUGAACGGAUUGAAUUGCUCUCAAAUGUUUUUUCCUUGCUGAAUUAGAGCAUCCUCCACCCGCAAAGCCACCUGCAAUGUAAUUAAUUUCUUGAGGGGGCUGACCGAGCGACACCGGUCCAGCGAUUGUAUUGAUGACUGUGCGAACUUUUUGUUUAGUUCGACUUCUACGUUCAGGGCUUUCGCUUUUAGGCCUCGUUCGUCUGAUCGGACUUUCGCUUCUUUUUCUUCUGUUUGAACGAUAGUGGUUGUCACGGGUCCGGUCGUCUCUUCGUCCCGAACGUUCGCGGGGAUCAUGAUCACGCUGGGGUGACCUGGGUGCAGUGAUGGUGGUUUUCACGAACUUGCGGAGAUGACCGGCCUGGACGAGCUCUUCAAUUUUAUCUUUCAGUGCUUGGCAUCCUUCGGUCGUGUGGCCAUAGUUACGAUGGUAUUGGCAACGUUUAC